rnacentral:ncRNA from 1 species
GAGUUUGAUCAUGGCUCAGAUUGAACGCUGGCGGCAGGCCUAACACAUGCAAGUCGAGCGAGAAAGUACUUCGGUACGAGUAAAGCGGCGGACGGGUGAGUAACGCGUAGGAAUCUACCUGGUAGUGGGGGACAACAUGUGGAAACGCAUGCUAAUACCGCAUACGACCUAAGGGUGAAAGUGGGGGACCUUCGGGCCUCACGCUAUCGGAUGAGCCUGCGUAAGAUUAGCUAGUUGGUGAGGUAAGAGCUCACCAAGGCGACGAUCUUUAGCUGGUCUGAGAGGAUGAUCAGCCACACUGGGACUGAGACACGGCCCAGACUCCUACGGGAGGCAGCAGUGGGGAAUAUUGCGCAAUGGAGGAAACUCUGACGCAGCCAUGCCGCGUGUGUGAAGAAGGCCUUAGGGUUGUAAAGCACUUUCAAUUGGGAAGAAAGGUUGUACGUUAAUAGCGUGCAGCUGUGACAUUACCUUUAGAAGAAGCACCGGCUAACUCCGUGCCAGCAGCCGCGGUAAUACGGAGGGUGCGAGCGUUAAUC